UCCAAUAGAAUUCAAGCCCCGUUAACUCCUUUCCAGUGUUUCGUUUAUUUUCCUGGAGACUUUUUCUUUAGAUAUUCAUGCUUGCUUCCUCGCUUAAUGUCUUCCCGUUUGGAUGUCUUCUUACCGGACUUCUGCUAGGAACAGCCACCUGAGAUAGUGUGUGGCACCUGAGCCAAGCCUGGUCCACCUGCUGUGCUUCUAAGUGCACUUUUAUUGGAGUACAGUGACAUUCACCGCUGUUGCUACAGCAACUUUUAACAGUAAGGGCACAGGGGAGUAACAUCAACAUUGAAAGUACGUGGGGACCCCAGGCUACCAGUGCCAGCCUCGGAGAGAUCACAGCCCUCUCCAGCGUCACUCUGGUCUCUGCUGUGAGGAUCUUUCAGCUGUUUUCACACUGUUACCGAGAGGUUUCCUUGUAUGUGUCAUCUCAGUUCAACAAAAGGUCUAAACGUUUGGUUGUAGUUUUUCACAAUAAGCAGAAAAGAUUAACCCGCCAGGAUUUGUUUAUCACCCACCUUCGUUGUCAGCCCCGUUUGGCGUGCAUAUAUGAUUGAGGUCAUCUCCUAAACUUUUAAAAUUGUAAUGGGUAGGCAGCCUACAUUCUGAUCAGCCAGCACACAUUUCUCUUUACAUUAAGAAAAGAACACAAAACAGGUUGUAUUCAGAAGGUGUAAUACUUCUCAGCUUUGUAGUAUUUCUAAUGACUGAAAUAUUGAAUCUGUUCUUCGGUUGCAGAGAAAGCAGACCCUAAUUACAGCGUACAUUCACGGAGCCCAAGCGGCAGCUUCUUGGAAAAGAAUUCCUGUGUUUUUUGUGCUGUGCUCAGCAACACACUCCGGAGCAGAUAUUGACUGCAGCAUUCACAGUCACUGAGCUGGAAGCUGCCGACUCUAUAGAGGCUGCUGUCAAACCUGUUGUGGGGGCCUAGGAGGUAGUGGACUGUAACCGACUUUUUUCUUUGAAUACAAUGCUUCCACUCAUGCUAAGCCUGGCUUCAAAGAAAACAGAAAUUUACUUCAUUCAUUUUAUUUAUUUUUCAAAAUACGAGUUUAAAAAAUCGAACUCUAACAAAAUUUAUCCCCACAGGAAGCUGCUUGGGAGCUUUACAUCACAAAUAUUGCCCUACCUAGACCCAAGGGCAGCACUUCCUAUGUGGCCAUCCUUCUCUUAGGUAUAAGAGCUCACUUAGCAAUAACCUAAAACAGGUGGUUUCUUCUCGCCACCCAGCAAGCUCAUGUAAGUUCUUUCCCCAGCAAGACAAGGCCCCAGAACACACAGCUGCCUGCCAUUCCUUCUUGUUACUGCUCUAGCCCUAUACCUGCCCUCAGGGAAAUCCAUUUACCAGGAAAAUUAAAUGUUAGCAGAUAUGUUUCUAGGAAUGGCUUGUGAACUCUUUGAAUACAAAAUGCCGAAUUAGUUGGCUCUUCGCCUCUUGGAUGAUCUGUACCACUGCCAAGAAUGAGCAGGAGAAAAUGGUUAGCGAGAUACCGCCUUUUCACACAUUUUUACAGCCAGGUAACCAUGCUGGGAAAUUUUUGAAAUGUAAUCUUUGCCACUUUUGUUCUGAUGGGAUCUGUUCAAAAGGCAUCUCAGAACAGGCACGGGCCCUUACGUCGUGCUUUGGUUGCUUAGACUUAGCUGGAACAGUAACACUGAACCAACUUUGACAAGUCUGAAGCUGGAGCAACACGGACAAGCAACAACAAACUCUGAAGUGGGAAAAACUUCACUUUGUACUUUUUUAAAAGGACUUUUUUUGUACAGUGCGUUUGGAUCAUAUUCUCUUUGCUUGUCUAACUCUUCCUAGAUUCACCCCCGUUCAGCUUUGUUUCCCCUCCUCCCCAAGACUAGUUUGUGCUGCUUGGGAUGUUCGGUUGAUUUACCAGGAGCUACACUCUUACAGAAAACUGCAUCCCUGUCUUCCCCCAGCUAAGAGUUACUGGCAGCUCCACAUUGAGAGGCGGAUUAUGUGCCCAACUCUUCCCUCCAUGCUGGGAUUUAGCCUGCUUUGGGCUUGCACAAGGUUUGGUCUGCUGUUGCAAAUGCUCCGACUUCAUGAGUGCGGCUGCCCUGCUCUGUCCAGGAGAAGCUGUUACCUUGUAGUCGUCCACUGCCUCUGCGUACACUCUUUCCAUCCCUGUUUCUACAGUGACCCUGGAACCUUGGAGGGAGCAGUGGAUCAGGGGAGGGCAGGUACAUUUUCUUUAGUGCUGAGCCUUCUGAAGUCCUACUCUCUACCAAAUGGCCAGCUGUGGGUCUCUAUGUAAACAACCAUUUACUACAAAACGAAGCCUCUCAGAUGAGGGUUGCUUCUGUUUAGCAGAAUAAUAGUAGUUAGGCUUUCCCUGAAGGUCUGCGACUUGUCUGGCCAUAGGUUCUCAGCUUGCUAAUGGGACCUGGGAUGGGUUUCACCUUAUGGAGUGGAAUUUAAAUCUAAUCAGAAACUUCCGUGAUGUAUGUGUCAGUGUUGCACCAGAGAGCUUGGUUUGUCAGGCCAGUCUUUUCUCCUCCAGUCGUUUGUAUUUUACCUGCAGCACUAUGAAAGCUAACCAGUAUCUGAGCCAUCUCUGUGGCUUGAGUCCUCUGUCCCUUUCGUUUCUAUAACAUGAAGUUCCCACUUGGGGCUGUUAUGGGGACACAAGCUUCAGUCUAAAGAGCUGAGCAAACACUGGAAUUAUUGCACUUCUCUAGGAAAAAAGGAAAGGAAAGGAAAGGAAAGGAAAGGAAAGGAAAGGAAAGGAGGACAAAAAGAAACAAAGACUGAAAGAAAAACACCUAGCUAUAACAAAAUAAAC
rnacentral:lncRNA from 1 species